rnacentral:RNase_P_RNA from 1 species
GUUCUUUGCCAGAUAGUCGCUCUGCUGUUUAUAUAGUGGAGAGGAAAGUCCGAACACCCGUUCCGCCGAAAAGCGGGACGAAAAGCGAUAGUGGCUAACGGCCACCCCCCUUUAUUUAUAGAGGGGCGGGACAGUGUCACAGAAACUAUACCGCGACAUCAUCAAUUUUGGUUUAAAGCCAAAAAAGUUGGUACGCAAGGGUGAAAAGAGGUGAGGUAAAAGCUCACAGCGUGCGUUGGCGACAGCGUGCGGUGAAAAACACCUAUCCGGUGCAACCUCGUAAUAGAGGGCUAGAACCCGCGAGCAAUCAAGGGUCCAGAUAGAUGACUAUCCCCGACAAUAGGCUAACGCCAAUUUGACGGGACAAAAUUCGGCUUAUAGGCAGAGAAC